rnacentral:lncRNA from 1 species
GCUCCAUAGGCUUUUCUAAAGCUUGUAAAUGUUCCCAUAAAAUGUGAUUGUUUUUAUGAUGAUUUUGAUGAAGGAAAGAGAGAAAGAAGAAACAAUUGUGUCUUUGUUUUUUUGUUCUAUCUAUGUAAAGGGUAUUUUGGUACUUUCACAUUGUGUUAGGCUUAACUAAUUUAUGAAUUUUGAUGAGAGAAUCAGGUUACAUCCUAUGAAUAGUUCUUUAGAAUCAAAUGGUUGAUUUCUAAGAAUAGUAAAUAGCGGAUUCUGUUUUUUUUGCAACUAAACUUUUACCAAAAUGCCUAUUAUUAGAUUUCACCUUGAUAGAAGGAUAAUUUGAAAAUUUAUUGAAUUUCAAUUUGACAAUAACUAUUGAAAUUCAAGAUAAAAGUAUAAUCAUUUCCUUUUUCUUUUUUUA